GGCGAGCGGCAAACGGGUGAGUAAAAUCUGGGGAUCUGCCCGAUGGAGGGGGACAACUAUUGGAAACGAUAGCUAAUACCGCAUAAAGUCGUAUAGUAUUGACCAAAGUAGGGGACCUUCGUAAGAAGGCCUUAUGCCGUUGGAUGAACCCAGAUAGGAUUAGCUAGUAGGUAGGGUAAUGGCCUACCUAGGUUACGAUCCUUAGCUGGUCUGAGAGGACGAUCAGCCACACUGGAACUGAGACACGGUCCAGACUCCUACGGGAGGCAGCAGUGGGGAAUAUUGCACAAUGGGGGAAACCCUGAUGCAGCUAUACCGUGUGUGUGAAGAAGGCCUUCGGGUUGUAAAGCACUUUCAAUGGGGAAGAAUUUGGCAUUGCUAAAACCGAUGUCAGUUGACGUUACCCAUAUAAGAAGCACCGGCUAACUCCGUGCCAGCAGCCGCGGUAAUACGGAGGGUGCAAGCGUUAAUCGGAAUUACUGGGCGUAAAGCGUACGCAGGUGGUUUAUUAAGUCAGGUGUGAAAUCCCUGAGCUCAACUUAGGAACUGCAUUUGAAACUGGUAAGCUAGAGUUUCGUAGAGGGGGGUAGAAUUCCAGGUGUAGCGGUGAAAUGCGUAGAGAUCUGGAGGAAUACCGGUGGCGAAGGCGACCCCCUAGACGAUAACUGACACUCAGGUACGAAAGCGUGGGGAGCAAACAGGAUUAGAUACCCUGGUAGUCCAUGCCGUAAACGAUGUCGAUUUGAAGGUCGUAGACUUUGAGCUGUGACUUUCGGAGCUAACGCGUUAAAUCGACCGCCUGGGGAGUACGACCGCAAGGUUAAAACUCAAAUGAAUUGACGGGGGCCCGCACAAGCGGUGGAGCAUGUGGUUUAAUUCGAUGCAACACGAAGAACCUUACCUACUCUUGACAUCCAAAGAAUCGCAUAGAAAUAUGAGAGUGCCUUCGGGAGCUUUGAGACAGGUGCUGCAUGGCUGUCGUCAGCUCGUGUUGUGAAAUGUUGGGUUAAGUCCCGCAACGAGCGCAACCCUUAUCCUUUGUUGCCAACGAGUUAAGUCGGGAACUCAAAGGAGACUGCCGGUGAUAAACCGGAGGAAGGUGAGGAUGACGUCAAGUCAUCAUGGCCCUUAUGAGUAGGGCUACAAACGUGCUACAAUGGCGUAUACAAAGAGAAGCGAUCUCGCGAGAGCCAGCAAACCUCACAAAGUACGUCUUAGUCCGGAUUGGAGUCUGCAACUCGACUCCAUGAAGUCGGAAUCGCUAGUAAUCGUGGAUCAGAAUGUCACGGUGAAUACGUUCCCGGGCCUUGUACACACCGCCCGUCACACCAUGGAAGUGGGUUGCAAAAGAAGCAAGUAGUUUAACCUUCGGGAGGGCACUUACCACUUUGUGAUUCAUGACU
rnacentral:rRNA from 1 species